CCUACGGGGGGCAGCAGUGGGGAAUAUUGCGCAAUGGGCGAAAGCCUGACGCAGCGACGCCGCGUGAGGGAUGAAGGUCUUCGGAUCGUAAACCUCUGUCAGCAGGGAAGAACGGUCACUGUGCUAAUCAGCAGUGAAUUGACGGUACCUGCAAAGGAAGCACCGGCUAACUCCGUGCCAGCAGCCGCGGUAAUACGGAGGGUGCGAGCGUUAAUCGGAAUGACUGGGCGGAAAGCGCUCGUAGGCGGUAUGUCAAGUCAAGGGUGAAAUCCCCGCGCGCAACGUGGGAACGGCCUUUGACACUGUCAAACUGGAGUGUGUGAUCGGUUAGUGGAAUUCCAUGUGUAGGAGUGACAUCCGUAGAUAUCUGGCGGAACAUCAGUGGC
rnacentral:rRNA from 1 species